GACGGGGGAUGCAAGUGUUAUCCGGAAUCACUGGGCGUAAAGCGUCUGCAGGUGGUUUCCUAAGUCCACUGUUAAACCUUGAGGCUCAACCUCAAAUCUGCAUUGGAAACUAGGAGACUUGAGUAUAGUAGGGGUAGAGGGAAUUUCCAGUGGAGCGGUGAAAUGCGUAGAUAUUGGAAAGAACACCGAUGGCGAAGGCACUCUACUGGGCUAUUACUGACACUGAGGAGCGAAAGCCAGGGGAGCAAACGGG
rnacentral:rRNA from 1 species